AUACGGAGGGUGCAAGCGUUAAUCGGAAUUACUGGGCGUAAAGCGCGCGUAGGCGGUUUUGCAAGUCGGAUGUGAAAGCCCAGGGCUCAACCUUGGAAUUGCAUUCGAAACUGCUUGACUAGAGUAUGGUAGAGGGAAGUGGAAUUUCCGGUGUAGCGGUGAAAUGCGUAGAUAUCGGAAGGAACACCAGUGGCGAAGGCGACUUCCUGGGCCAAUACUGACGCUCAGGUGCGAAAGCGUGGGGAGCAAACAGAAUUAGAAACCCCGGUAGUCC
rnacentral:rRNA from 1 species